rnacentral:rRNA from 1 species
UGAGGAAUAUUGGUCAAUGGAGGAAACUCUGAUACAGCAAUUCUGUGUGUGUGAAGAAGGUUUUAGGACUGUAAAACACUUUUAGUAGGGAAGAAAAAAAUGACGGUACCUACAGAAGAAGCAACGGCUAAAUACGUGCCAGCAGCCGCGGUAAUACGUAUGUUGCGAGCGUUAUCCGGAAUUAUUGGGCUUAAAGGGCAUCUAGGCGGUAAGACAAGUUGAAGGUGAAAACCUGUGGCUCAACCAUAGGCUUGCCUACAAAACUGUUGAACUAGAGUACUGGAAAGGUGGGUGGAACUACACGAGUAGAGGUGAAAUUCGUAGAUAUGUGUAGGAAUGCCGAUGAUGAAGAUAACUCACUGGACAGAAACUGACGCUGAAGUGCGAAAGCUAGGGGAGCAAACAGG